AAACAUACCCAAUUUUCCCUUCUUUAGAGUGUCUCAUCUUCUUGUUUAGGCGUAAGGUUUUGGCAGCUCCUUCACUACUCUUCCUUCCAUAAUUCCAGCUUUCACAUUCUUUGCUUCACAAUUCAUCUUCCAAUCCGAAGUCCAUUCACUUCGACCUGGGUCUUCACCCAAUCGAUGUCAUCUUCCGAAGCCGAGAUCCGUUCUUGUGGUUGUUGUCUACUAGCGAAAAUUAAGUCAAAGUCUCCCUUAAUUUCGAUAAGAGGAGGCCACAACUACGACCACAAUCAUUCGAAGAUGACCUUCAGGAAGAAGCAAAGGCGUACAGGAGUAACAAAGAUGAAGGGAAAAUACGUGAAAGAAAAAAAAAGGAUCGAGUCGGCUUCUUUUUGUUGGAGGACCGAAUCAGCAUAAAAUUAGGGACCGAGUCCCUGAGUUGGACCGAGUCCAAGGAUGCUAAAGACAAAACAAACAAGCUAAUUGGGGAUUAAGUAUCGGGUCCUAAUUUUGUACCCAAUUAGAAGACUUAUCAAACAGGCCCUUAUUCUUUUUUAUGUGAUUUAAAGACCUAACAAAAUUUCUAACUAAAUCAAUGAGAUAUUAAUUAACUAUUGACAUAUUAUUUUGAUAUUUGUAAUUUUCUUUUUAUGACUAAUAAUAGUGAUUUUGAAUCUUACCAAUUGAAGAUGAACGGAAAUAGCGGGCUGGAGAAGAUCGUCGUACGUAUAUGGAUUUCCGAGUUGAUGUAUGAUUUUAUUUUGAAAAAAAAAACUGGUAUUUAGGUUAAGGAUUAUUAUUUACGUAAAAAUAUAUAAGAUCUUAUAUUAUUAGCUCC